rnacentral:rRNA from 1 species
GACGUAGGGCGCGAGCGUUGUCCGGAUUUAUUGGGCGUAAAGAGCUCGUAGGCGGCUUGUCGCGUCGUCCGUGAAAACUUGGGGCUCAACCCCAAGCUUGCGGUCGAUACGGGCAGGCUCGAGUUCGGUAGGGGAGACUGGAAUUCCUGGUGUAGCGGUGAAAUGCGCAGAUAUCAGGAGGAACACCGGUGGCGAAGGCGGCCCGCUGGACCCCAUCUGACGCUGAGGCGCGAAAGCCAGGGGAGCGAACGGG